CAGUCACAUGACCACACUGAGCUACAAGGGAGUAUGGGAAAUGCUAUCCAAUUGUGUGCCCAUGAAGAAGUUAGGUAAGUAUUUCCAUCCUUUUCUCUACAGAGAAAGACACAAGAUGCUGGAUUUAGGAGGAAGAACACCCCGGAACUCAAGGGUCAUUGACCAAAAAAGAAGAUGGCAGGGAGAUGGCUCACCACUGGGACCGAGGUCCUCAUGAGACAAAGAGCCUUUAUUCCUUCCUAAUACAGUCAGCUGCUGUGUUGAGCAGAGUACCAGGCCAUCACUGGUGAAGGAGGCGCAAAGGCUCCGGUCUCCCCAGC